rnacentral:rRNA from 1 species
UUAAGCUAGAUGUGAAAGCCCCGGGCUCAACCUGGGAACUGCCUUUCAAACUGGUAAACUAGAGUGGGAGAGAGGGAGGUAGAAUUUCAGGUGUAGCGGUGAAAUGCGUAGAGAUCUGAAGGAAUACCGAUGGCGAAGGCAGCCUCCUGGGUCAAUACUGACACUCAUGUACGAAAGCGUGGGGAGCAAACAGGAUUAGAUACCCUGGUAGUCCACGCCGUAAACGAUGUCUACUAGAAGGUCGGAACCUCCGGUCCUGUUUUUAAAGCAAAACCAUUAUUUACACCGCCUGGGGAGUACACGGCCGAAAGUCUAAAACUC